rnacentral:lncRNA from 1 species
UGUUUAUGGAUAUUCCAGGGAAACGGUAAGCAAUACUUUGUAUCCGACUUUCCUCAACAAGGAAAUCCGCGAUCAAGCAAGAAAGUAGCCCAACUUUCCACUUCGUACAUGACUGACAAAGUUACACCCUUUUUAAUUUUAAGGUGAUCCCGGGCGGUUUAUAAAUAACUCUUCUGUCGGAAUGGGAUCGGGUGUUUUCACGUCUCACCGUAGUGCCCGGUUUGUCUUGAUUUCCGAUUGAUGAACAGGAACUCUUUUUUUGUUUUUGACUGGCUACGUUUGGACCCUUCGCCCGCU